GUUCAUGGAUCGCCAUCAGCAGCAGAAGCUCCAAUAUCCCUGGACAGAAGAGCCAUAAAUCAGUAAUAUCUGGCUGUAUGUGGCUAAUUCCAGGGUACUGAGAGUGAUAUGAAGCUUGUGAAAUGAAUGAUCAGACAAAUCUGCUCCACUCUGCAUGCUGUUGGAGAAAUGGAUCACCUUGCUCUCUUUCUAUGGUCUCUGCCACCAUAUUUAUCAAAUAUAUAUGCAAAUAUGGAGGCAAUCAGCUUUACUCUUCCACCUAGAGAAGAAAGGACCACAAUCAAAUCAGCUAGAGAAGUAAACGGGGCAGCACACUGCCUGAAGGAAAACACCCGGAAACUGCUAAGAGAGUGUUAUCUUCGAAAUCCAUAUCCCAGUCCAGCACAAAAGAGGCAUCUUUCCUACAUGACUGGAUUGCGUCCCACACAAGUUACUAACUGGUAUAAAAACAGAAGACAAAGGGAUAGGGCAGUUAGCUCAAAAA